rnacentral:misc_RNA from 1 species
AAAUCACGUGAUGUUUCAAAAUGGCAGAUGGUUGUGGAAAAGCGAAAAUUGGACCUUCAAUUUUAAAUUCUGAUUUGUCUAACUUAGCUUCAGAAUGUCAGCGAAUGGUAGACAGCGGUGCAGAUUAUUUACACCUUGAUGUGAUGGAUGGGCAGUUUGUACCUAACUUGACAUUUGGCCAUCCAGUUGUUAAAUGCUUGAGACCAAAACUUCAAAAUGUGUUUUUUGACAUGCACAUGAUGGUUGCUGCGCCGGAGCAAUGGAUAGAGGGAAUGCAAGCAGCAGGAGCAGAUCAGUAUACAUUUCAUCAGGAGGCAACAGACGACCCAAAAACAUGUAUUCGUAAAAUUAAAGAGGCUGGAAUGAAGGCAGGUAUAGGAAUCAAGCCAAAUACACCUGUGAAUGUUUUAGACCCAUUUGUUGACCUGGUUGAUAUGGUGCUCAUUAUGACAGUGGAGCCUGGAUUUGGUGGACAAAAGUUCAUGGGAGAUAUGAUGCCAAAAAUUCAGUACCUCAGGGAGCAUUUUGGUACCAUAGAUAUAGAAGUGGAUGGUGGUGUUGGACCAUCAACUAUACAACAAUGUGCUGAUGCUGGAGCUAACAUGAUAGUGUCAGGUAGUGCUGUUAUAGGGAGUGAUAAUCCAAGGGAGACAAUGAACUACAUGAGAAAUGUUGUUGAGGAAGCCAUCCAGAAAUCACAGCUAGAAAGAUGACACACCAUACAUACCAUUUAUUUCAUUAUGCAUAUCUAACAGCUGAAUUCAAUAUGUGACUUUCUUGUAUGUGUUUAUAUGUAUUGCUGCCAGAUAUUUCUGUGACAUUACCCAAGAGAAUCUCAUUCUUACGCAUUAUAUUAAUGCUAUACCGUCUUUUGACAAGUUCCACUUCCCAAUUUAUCAAGGUGAGAAAGAGAAAACGUUCAUGUAAUUGUUUUUGGUGAAAUUUCUACAUUGUAAAUAAGGAUACAAAAUAUUAAAAAACCUUAAGCCUU